AAAAAUUCGUAUUUUCAUAUCGAGCUAAAAUUUUUCUUCAAUAGGUGUAAGAAAUUUAAGUUUCUACAUCAUGAGUUCAGUAUUCUAGGCGGCAAAUCGACAUGUCUCUAUAAAUAUUGAGGUGCUGAUGUAUUUUGAGAUGGAGGCAAUCAGAGAACUUGAGAGGGUUGUGGACAGUGCUUAGCACACAGGUGUCGCACACCACACUACCCAGGGCCUGCCUUGGCUGGUGGCUCUUCUGGACAGCAGGGAACUUUGAGACCACUCCCCGAGGACCCAGGGCGCCCCAAGAGACAGCGGGUUGGAAGCGGGUAGAGUGGACAGAAGUAGAGACGGCGGGAGCUGCGGGUGGCGGCAGCAGCGCCCAGGGUCCGAGGCCCUCGGGUCCUCUGGGCUGCGGGACGCAGAGACUUUGAGGAGGAGCGCGAGCGUCCCCCCGCCCCUCCUGCCUCCACGCGGGGCGCGCCGGGAUCGGGGGCGGGGGGGGGGGUGGUGGUCCGAGAGCGCCCCCCUCUCCCACGCGGGCCUCGCGGGGCGGUGAGUCAAGGCCGGGAGCCGAGCCGCUCUCCCCGGCAGACCCGACCGAGGCGCGGGCGGCGGCGCGCAGGACGGGGAUCCGAGACGCGCUCCCGCCGCCCCAGCUGCGCCGCGCUCCCGGCCACAAGUUUGCCCCGCGUUGGCCAAGUUGCGAGUGGGGAGCCUCUCCGGGCUCCGGGGUGAGCGUCCGUCUUCUCGCUCGGGCUGGUCCGGGCAUGGCCGGGCCGGGAGCCUCGCCCCACGUCUGGGGGUGGCUGCUGCUCGGAGGUUGCCUUCUCGUCGGAGCCCAGCAAAACGGCACAACACAACGAGAGAUCCACAGCAGUGCUGGUCCAACAGAUGUGACUGUGGAAAGACAUGAAGUGAGGAGAAAAUAUCACAUAUUGGAGAGCGCAGAGUGAAGUGCAAAAUGAAUAACCUUGAAUCAGGUUUUCCUAGUCUGUUUAACUUUGGUGAAGCUUUCGCUUCAACAGAAUCUAAAACUGUGUUUUCUAAUUGAAUGGAUGUUGGUACCUCACUGUGUGAGGUAAGAAGACAAGGGACAGCUAAAACAAAGGGCACACUAGGGCUCCGGGGGAUCUGUGAAUGUGAAUGAAGCAGAUGGCCUUGAAACAAGAGGAGCACGUGGUCAGUGGAGAGAUGAGAAAAGCAAAGGAGAAUGGGGCGGAGCACAUGUUCAACUGCACACAUUCAAACUGGACACUUGUCAACGAUUUGUGCUUCUUUUGAGUUCCUGUAUGAUUAGAAGACAGUGAUGUGAUCUGGAAAAUGGAUAAUAAAUUAUUUAGUAACAUCGUAGAAGCGUUCCUA
rnacentral:lncRNA from 1 species